ACUCACACACACUCUCACUGCAACUUUGUGUGUGUGUGGGGGGUGUGGAGGGGACGGGGGUGUCGGAUGGGGGGGUCAUAGGACAAAGGCAAACGCGUGAUACAGCCCUCCAAAAACCACGCUCUUCUUUGGAUUUUCUCCUUUCUUUCUUCUUUUUUUUCUUCCAUAUAUCCCCGGAUAGGCCUAUGCAAUGCAGCCUCGCUCCUCGCCUGUGAGCUCCGUCUCUGCCUGGCUUUCCCACGCCGGCUGAAUGUGGCCUGACCCCCUUCAGAGAGGUUUGACACGGAGCGAGGACAUUUCCGCAUUCCUCCCCGACUACAAAGCCACGCCGCCUCCUUUUUGCUCUCACUCGGCCUCCUCGGUGCUUUUACCAUUCAUAGUCCUCUCCUGCGGGUUUUGUCUCCUGUGUCAAAACCGGGAGCACCGCGGGGAUCGUGAAGGGGAGAGAGGCAGUUUAUUGGAUGGACGGCCACACUAUCUAUCUCCCUCUCAGGGCUUUGAGGGACUCCUGCUGAAACAAUGCGCCAGCGGGGAUGCAAUGUGACAAGCUCGCCCUAUAUGGUCCCAAAGGGGUCAGGUUCAAGGCCCGGUGGCUUGAUCUGCGGCAGGGGGACUCCUCUGCUCCGGUGGUCGUCUGCAGGGCCCCAUCACGACCGGCGUGGUGACCAUCUGCUGAUCAGUCCAGCCAAGAGAGAAUUACAGCCCUCCCAAGGGGGACGAGGGAGGCCAACAAGGGACAGGUGACUCCCAGUCUCUCCCAGAUUGUCUUACACCCACCCACACACAUACAGAGAGAGGGAGAGAUUGAUUGUGGGCCUGUCUACCUGUCCCGCCUAAAUAGAGGGGGAUGUCCACGCGACCAGGCAUAGGGUACAGUGAUAAUAACCUAAAGUCUUUAGGUGGACAGCUGUCACACCUGGGAAGGAAUCUGAUAGGAUGUGUGAUAUUAGGUUCCUUUUUAAGUUCCCAAUCCCAUUGUCAGGAUUUACAAGCAUCACUUAGUCAGCGGUGUGAGUCAGGUCUUGCUCACCUAUCAGCAGCUUAAUAUUUAAGCAACAUUUUGGGCAGAACAGACAUGGUGCCGCCACACAAUCGGAGCCUGUUGUUUGUCCCUGACUUGAUUUCUUCUCUUUUUCUUCUUUCUUGUCGAGCCAGACUGAAGUCCAAGUGCAAGUAAAGCCCCCUUCUCUCCUCUUCCCUUUGCCCAUCUCCUCUCCCCGGCACCGGCCCCCAGACACAAGCCUCUUUCUGUUGGGGCAUCGCCAUAGCAACCAAGCCACUAACUUGAGGAGGCGACAUAAAAACCUGCUCUUUUAGGGGACACAGGAACACCUGCCACCUCCGCCGAUGGGGAGGGCCAGGCUGGACGCUUAGCCACGAACAGACACACACUCACAUACAAAUUCAUGUGGGCACGAAUGCACACACACACACACACACACACACACACACACACACACACACACACACACACACACACACACACACACACACACACACACACACACAUAAACAGAGGAUCAGUGUUAAAUUCAAAUGAGACCUUUAGCUAACAUCUGCCACCCUUCAGAAGCUCUUUUAUCUUCCAAUAACACCUUAUGUUGUUUGGUGGCUUCUUAACUCUUGUUCUAGCAAAACAAGGAGAGUUUUAUGACAAAAAUAAUCCAGUAGUGAUAAGAUUCUUUCCUUAUUUUAACAUCUUGAUGGUUAUAUUAUUAAGCAGUGGUUACUUAAUGAAUAACCAGGAUCACCAGGUAUACAGUUUGCCAUACAUAUACAUACAACAACCUGUACCUGUGACCUCAUUAUUUGAGUCUUGCCUAGCAACCGUUAACCUUCCCCUACACAGACACUCCCUGAUUACAGAGAAAGUUCUCUUAUGUCAGUUGCUCAACUCUAAAGUUCACAAUUAUCUCAUUGUAUCUCUUAUGUUUAAUCUGUUUAUAUAUUGAAUGAACAAGAUACAACUCAUUUAUAUCAAUACAACAUAUACAUUUUACAGCUUUAAUUAAAUGGUAUAAGAAAAUAAAAUAAUGUUUAUAAAGUCCAUAAAUCAUUCCUAAUAGAGCUAGAGCUAUCAGACGAUUAGCUUAGCUUAGCAUUUAAAGACUGGAACCAGGGAAACAGCUAGCAAAGCUCUGCAUGAAGUAACUUUUGGGCAAAUAACAUGUCGGUUGACAAACACAAAGAAGUUCAGUUGUCAUCUUUCUCAAGGCCGACGGCUGAAACUUCCUCAAACAGACAGCAGUUUAAAUCUCCCGCAGCCCCUUUAAAGGCCCCAAU